rnacentral:rRNA from 1 species
GAACAUAAGAGUUUGAUCCUGGCUCAGAUUGAACGCUGGCGGCAUGCUUUACACAUGCAAGUCGGACGGCAGCACGAGUACUUGUACUUGGUGGCGAGUGGCGAACGGGUGAGUAAUAUAUUGGAACGUACCGAGUAAUGGGGGAUAACUAUCCGAAAGGAUAGCUAAUACCGCAUACGCUUUGAGAAGGAAAGCAGGGGAUCUUCGGACCUUGCGUUAUUCGAGCGGCCAAUAACUGAUUAGCUAGUUGGUGGGGUAAGGGCCCACCAAGGCGACGAUCAGUAGUGGGUCUGAGAGGAUGAUCCGCCACACUGGGACUGAGACACGGCCCAGACUCCUACGGGAGGCAGCAGUGGGGAAUUUUGGACAAUGGGCGAAAGCCUGAUCCAGCCAUGCCGCGUGUCUGAAGAAGGCCUUCGGGUUGUAAAGGACUUUUGUUAGGGAAGAAAAGGUUGAUGCUAAUAUCAUUAACUGAUGACGGUACCUAAAGAAUAAGCACCGGCUAACUACGUGCCAGCAGCCGCGGUAAUACGUCUGUCUCUUAUACACAUCU